rnacentral:rRNA from 1 species
UUUGGUUAAGUUAGAAAGGGCGCACGGUGGAUGCCUUGACACUAGGAGUCGAUGAAGGACGGGACUAACGCCGAUAUGCUUCGGGGAGCUGUAAGUAAGCUUUGAUCCGAAGAUUUCCGAAUGGGGAAACCCACUAUACGUAAUGGUAUGGUAUCCUUACCUGAAUACAUAGGGUAUGGAAGACAGACCCAGGGAACUGAAACAUCUAAGUACCUGGAGGAAGAGAAAGCAAAUGCGAUUUCCUGAGUAGCGGCGAGCGAAACGGAAUCUAGCCCAAACCAAGAGGCUUGCCUCUUGGGGUUGUAGGACAUUCUAUACGGAGUUACAAAGGAACGAGGUAGACGAAGCGACCUGGAAAGGUCCGUCACAGAGGGUAAUAACCCCGUAGUCGAAACUUCGUUCUCUCUUGAAUGUAUCCUGAGUACGGCGGAACACGUGAAAUUCCGUCGGAAUCUGGGAGGACCAUCUCCCAAGGCUAAAUACUCCCUAGUGAUCGAUAGUGAACCAGUACCGUGAGGGAAAGGUGAAAAGCACCCCGGAAGGGGAGUGAAAGAGAUCCUGAAACCGUGUGCCUACAAAUAGUCAGAGCCCGUUAAUGGGUGAUGGCGUGCCUUUUGUAGAAUGAACCGGCGAGUUACGAUCCCGUGCAAGGUUAAGCUGAAGAGGCGGAGCCGCAGCGAAAGCGAGUCUGAAUAGGGCGUUUAGUACGUGGUCGUAGACCCGAAACCAGGUGAUCUACCCAUGUCCAGGGUGAAGUUCAGGUAACACUGAAUGGAGGCCCGAACCCACGCACGUUGAAAAGUGCGGGGAUGAGGUGUGGGUAGCGGAGAAAUUCCAAUCGAACCUGGAGAUAGCUGGUUCUCCCCGAAAUAGCUUUAGGGCUAGCCUUAAGUGUAAGAGUCUUGGAGGUAGAGCACUGAUUGAACUAGGGGUCCUCAUCGGAUUACCGAAUUCAGUCAAACUCCGAAUGCCAAUGACUUAUCCUUAGGAGUCAGACUGCGAGUGAUAAGAUCCGUAGUCAAGAGGGAAACAGCCCAGAUCGCCAGCUAAGGUCCCAAAGUGUGUAUUAAGUGGAAAAGGAUGUGGAGUUGCUUAGACAACUAGGAUGUUGGCUCAGAAGCAGCCACCAUUUAAAGAGUGCGUAAUAGCUCACUAGUCGAGUGACUCUGCGCCGAAAAUGUACCGGGGCUAAAUACACCACCGAAGCUGCGAAUUGAUACCAAUGGUAUCAGUGGUAGGGGAGCGUUCUAAGUGCAGUGAAGUCAGACCGGAAGGACUGGUGGAGCGCUUAGAAGUGAGAAUGCCGGUAUGAGUAGCGAAAGACGGGUGAGAAUCCCGUCCACCGAAUGCCUAAGGUUUCCUGAGGAAGGCUCGUCCGCUCAGGGUUAGUCAGGACCUAAGCCGAGGCCGACAGGCGUAGGCGAUGGACAACAGGUUGAUAUUCCUGUACCACCUCUUUAUCGUUUGAGCAAUGGAGGGACGCAGAAGGAUAGAAGAAGCGUGCGAUUGGUUGUGCACGUCCAAGCAGUUAGGCUGAUAAGUAGGCAAAUCCGCUUAUCGUAAAGGCUGAGCUGUGAUGGGGAAGCUCCUUAUGGAGCGAAGUCUUUGAUUCCCCGCUGCCAAGAAAAGCUUCUAGCGAGAUAAAAGGUGCCUGUACCGCAAACCGACACAGGUAGGCGAGGAGAGAAUCCUAAGGUGUGCGAGAGAACUCUGGUUAAGGAACUCGGCAAAAUGACCCCGUAACUUCGGGAGAAGGGGUGCUUUCUUAACGGAAAGCCGCAGUGAAUAGGCCCAAGCGACUGUUUAGCAAAAACACAGGUCUCUGCGAAGCCGUAAGGCGAAGUAUAGGGGCUGACACCUGCCCGGUGCUGGAAGGUUAAGGAGAGGGGUUAGCGUAAGCGAAGCUCUGAACUGAAGCCCCAGUAAACGGCGGCCGUAACUAUAACGGUCCUAAGGUAGCGAAAUUCCUUGUCGGGUAAGUUCCGACCCGCACGAAAGGUGUAACGAUUUGGGCACUGUCUCAACCAGAGACUCGGUGAAAUUAUAGUACCUGUGAAGAUGCAGGUUACCCGCGACAGGACGGAAAGACCCCGUGGAGCUUUACUGUAGCCUGAUAUUGAAUUUUGGUACAGUUUGUACAGGAUAGGCGGGAGCCAUUGAAACCGGAGCGCUAGCUUCGGUGGAGGCGCUGGUGGGAUACCGCCCUGACUGUAUUGAAAUUCUAACCUACGGGUCUUAUCGACCCGGGAGACAGUGUCAGGUGGGCAGUUUGACUGGGGCGGUCGCCUCCUAAAGUGUAACGGAGGCGCCCAAAGGUUCCCUCAGAAUGGUUGGAAAUCAUUCGUAGAGUGCAAAGGCAUAAGGGAGCUUGACUGCGAGACCUACAAGUCGAGCAG